AGAGUGAACGCUGGCGGUAGGCCUAACACAUGCAAGUCGAACGGCAGCACAGUAGGAGCUUGCUCUUACGGGUGGCGAGUGGCGGACGGGUGAGGAAUACAUCGGAAUCUACCUUUUGGUGGGGGAUAACGUAGGGAAACUUACGCUAAUACCGCAUACGCCCUUCGGGGGAAAGCUGGGGACCAGCAAUGGCCUGGCGCUGAUAGAUGAGCCGAUGUCGGAUUAGCUAGUUGGUGAGGUAAUGGCUCACCAAGGCGACGAUCCGUAGCUGGUCUGAGAGGAUGAUCAGCCACACUGGAACUGAGACACGGUCCAGACUCCU
rnacentral:rRNA from 1 species